UAUCGGGGGUUCAGGGACGAGGACGGAGAAUAUCUCCCCGAGUUCUUCCACCUGCUCUCCAUACGGCUCGCCUUCGUCAUCGUGUUCGAGCACGUGGUCUUCUUCGUUGGUCGUUUGAUCGACCUGAUGGUCCCUGACGUCCCAGAGGACGUGGAGAUGAAGAUCAAGAGAGAGCACUACAUGGCUAAAGAGGCGCUGGCCGAGAACCAGUCUCUGGGGAUAUUCAUGUCUCCUGGUGAGACGGACGUCCUGUCUCCUGUCCAGAGACCCACCACAGCGUAGACCUGAACCCGAAAGAAGUCCCAGAGGAGCCUGAGAUCUACCUAUAUAUAUAUAUUUAUAUA